rnacentral:rRNA from 1 species
GUCUUUUUGAAAUAAUUUAAAGUCUAAUCUGCCCCCUGAUAAAAAAUUAAAGGGCUGCAGUAUAAUGACUGUACAAAGGUAGCAUAAUCAAUAGUUUUUUAAUUGAAAACUUGUAUGAAAGAUUUGAUGAAAUAUAGACUGUCUCUAAUUUAUAGAUUGAAUUUUAUUUUUUAGUAAAAAAGCUAAAAUAAAUUUAAAAGACGAGAAGACCCUAUAGAGUUUUAUAUUUAAUUUUAUUUUAAAAUUAUAUAAAAAUUAAUAUUAAAAAUAAAAUUAAAUAUUAUAUUGGGGUGAUAGAAAAAUUAAAUUAACUUUUUUUAAAAAUUAAACAUAAAUAAAUGAUUGUAUGAUCCAUAAAUAAUGAUUAUAAGAAAAAAUUACCUUAGGGAUAACAGCGUAAUAUUUUUUUUUAGUUCAAAUAAAAAAAAAAAGUUUGCGACCUCGAUGUUGGAUUAAGAUAAAAUUUAAAUGCAAAAGUUUAAAAAUUUUGAUCUGUUCGAUCAUUAAAAUCUUACA